UUCCCUCUGUCAAUUCGUCGUUAUUUUUGUUUUUUUUUUUUUUUAUGAAAGUAUCGCAUUUCUUUGGGGCAAUUAAAUUAGGGAUUUUGAAUUCUCGUAGAACUUACAGGGUUAUGGCAUCUGAUGGAUCUUUAAGCGAUUGAACAUUUCUAGUUGGUAAUUGUGUAAGGGAUCAUUGUUCAUUGUCAUUUCUGCGUUAAAUGAAUGUGUUACUGUCAAGUCGUUUAAGAUUUGAAAUGAUAGUUUUGGGUUAUUCUUUGGCUUAACAGGAAAUGCUACUAACUUGAAAUUCAUUUUCCACUCUCUUUUACUUGUUGUUUCAUUAUUAGCAUUCUCCUUUACGAUUUUGCUUAAUGAAUUUGACUUUAUGUAUCUGGUAGUAGCCUUUUAUAAACUUCAAUGCUCAACGAUUCAUUUGAUGGCAACAAUAUUUUUAUUUUCAAGUCUUGAUGGUUUAAAAAUAAAAUUGGACAAAAUUUAUAUUUUGAGGUUAUAUUUGCAAAUUAUAUUUUAAUUAUUUGAAUAUUAUAAGAAUGUUUUAAUAUAUAAAUUAUUUAUUGGACAAAAUUUUGUAAUUUUAAGGAUUCGGAGCUGAGUUGUGUUGCUCAUUUUCUAUUUCUUAAGUAGCUAUUUACGAGCACACAACAUCAUUAUAAAUACAAAAUUAAACUGUACUUUUAUCAAAAAGCUGCCCUGGUGUAUAAUUUUUGUUCUUACUGUAGGUAUCUUGCUUAACCAGGAAAAAUAUAUUGGGAAUAGGCAUGCUUGCAAGAAUUUCCUUGUUCUUACUGUGCCAUUACGAAACUCAAGAAGCUCCCUUAAUCAUAAUCGACUCUGUGUUUUCUCUUUUCUCUCCUUUGAUUAAAUCAUACACUCUUCUCUUCUUUGUCUCUGUAUCACCACCAUCUUCGAAUUCCUGUCUUCCAGUUGAAACCCUAGGAAGGGCUUUUAAGCAAUCUUCUGUUUUCUUUUUCCUGUUUUCUCUGCCAUAACGCCGUCAGUAUACGGUGCUCGAUUGACAACAUUCGAAGAUUCUGAGAAGGAGAGCGAGUAUGGUUUUGUUCGUAAGUUCAGAACAAACAUCUGAGAUUGCAAUAGUGAAGUCCAAGAUGUGAAAGUUGCAAGCAUUAGCACACAAGGGAUAUCCAGGGCUUAGGCAUAAGGUGCAAGCUUGUGCUUGAAGGAUCUGAGAAGAAGAAAGAAUUGGAAAAUAUCUGAGGUUCAUAUAGUUGAGUUUUGCAAUGUUAAGCAUUUCAGGGUUCGUAUUUCCCAAAUAAUUUUCUGCCGCAAGAAGAGAUGUUUACAAACAAUCAGAGACAAGAAGAAAGAAUUGGAAAAUAUGGAACCCCAAGGCUCCAAUACCUUCAGGAAUUGGUGAGCCAAUUUCAGAAUGCAAGUGAUGAAGAAUAUCUUUUAUUUAUAAUUCCAGGUGGACUCACUCAACACACUGAAACGAAAGAGCGAAUCGUUGCUAAUUUGGCAAACUUUGCUUAUGAUCCUUACAAUUAUGUAUUCUUACGCCAGCUCAAUGUUUUGGAACUCUUCCUAGAUUGCAUAACCGAACCAAAUGAGAAGCUUGUGGAAUUUGGGAUUGGAGGUGUAUGUAAUUCUUGUGCUGAUCCAGCAAAUGCUGCGAUUAUCACGCAGAGUGGUGGAAUACCCCUUAUUAUCCAAUGUUUGUCAAGCCCAGUUCAAAACACAGUCAACUAUGCUAUUGGAGCUCUUUAUUAUCUUUGCAACUCAUCUAACAAGGAAGAGAUUCUGAGGCCGGAAGUUAUAGAUGUCAUCCAGAGAUAUGCUGCAGCAGAAGCAGUAAAUCAGCGUCAAUGAUUGUGUCGGUGGUCGUGGGGCAAUAACUCCAGAAUAAUCUGAGUGAUCCUCCCUGCUACGCACUCACUGUCUCCUGUUACUACAAAUUUACUCUUAUGGUUCCAUGCUCUUAAAUGCAAUAAGUGCUACUGCAGCUUAUCUAACUCUUCUCCAAUUAUAGUCUCAACCAAUGCUUCUGCUGAAUUCGUUAUGAUCAAAUUAAUGCUUUUGCUGCCAAAUCCGCUACGUUUGCCAUGUGUGUCACCUCCAAAUCAUAAUCCUUUUCUAGCUUCUUUGCAUUGCCUGAUAUACGAACUCUAGUAUAGAUAAUGUUAGGAUUAGCUAGUGCUUGAUAAAGCUGGAAGGUAGGGCAGCAUUUUCGGAUGCAGUAUUGGAAAGUCAACCGCCAUUCUAUAUCGAAGCUGACAAUGUUUUGGUAAUGAUGGCAUGGAGCUUCAAGAUGUUCUUGGAUCCAUCUGUCAGCUACUGCUCUUGAGCAAGUAACGGUGGUGCGAACUAGCCGGAUGUGGAUGGUGUGAUCUUGUAUGUUUUCUGGGUUUUACCCCGACCGUGAAGUUCUUCAAUGGUUACUCCCAUUUUUCAUUAUGGAAUGAGAAAUAGAGGAAAUGGCUGAGGUUUUGUAAAAAAUAAGUAAUUGUCCAUGAAAAAGAAAAGAGAAUCAGGGGAUUUCAGUAAUGGUAGAAAAGAUGUCACUAAGGACAAUAAGACAUGAAAAUUGCAAUAAUAGACCUAAGGAAAGCAGAUUCUGUUGGUGGAAAGUUGCAACAACAAUAAAAUCUUUAAUUAUUUAAGGAAAAUUAUUGAAUUUCUCAAUAUUUUAUUGUAACGAAUGAAAGGGGGAAUGAAGUCGAGUUAAUACGAUGAACUAAAUGAAUUCUGCAUAUGAACUUUGUACUGCGCGCAUCCUUUAGAUGAGCUAUAAAAAGUCACAUAAUAUAGGAGGGUAUAGGAGGGAAUGAAGAAAUAAAAAAAUGAAUAUAAAAUA